rnacentral:rRNA from 1 species
AUUGAACGCUGGCGGCAUGCCUUACACAUGCAAGUCGAACGGUAACAGGUCUUCGGAUGCUGACGAGUGGCGAACGGGUGAGUAAUACAUCGGAACGUGCCUAGUAGUGGGGGAUAACUACUCGAAAGAGUGGCUAAUACCGCAUGAGAUCUACGGAUGAAAGCAGGGGAUCGCAAGACCUUGCGCUACUAGAGCGGCCGAUGGCAGAUUAGGUAGUUGGUGGGAUAAAAGCUUACCAAGCCGACGAUCUGUAGCUGGUCUGAGAGGACGAUCAGCCAAACGGGGACUGAGACACGGCCCAGACUCCUACGGGAGGCAGCAGUGGGGAAUUUUGGACAAUGGGCGCAAGCCUGAUCCAGCAAUGCCGCGUGCAGGAUGAAGGCCUUCGGGUUGUAAACUGCUUUUGUACGGAACGAAAAGCCCUGGGUUAAUACCCUGGGGUCAUGACGGUACCGUAAGAAUAAGCACCGGCUAACUACGUGCCAGCCGCCGCCGUAAGAC